rnacentral:rRNA from 1 species
UCCGUAGGUGAACCUGCGGAGGGAUCAUUGCUGGAACGCGCCCCAGGCGCACCCAGAAACCCUUUGUGAACUUAUACCUUACUGUUGCCUCGGCGCAUGCUGGCCCCCUCGGGGUCCCCUGGAGACAGGGAGCAGGCACGCCGGCGGCCAAGUUAACUCUUGUUUUUACACUGAAACUCUGAGAAAAAAAACACAAAUGAAUCAAAACUUUCAACAACGGAUCUCUUGGUUCUGGCAUCGAUGAAGAACGCAGCGAAAUGCGAUAAGUAAUGUGAAUUGCAGAAUUCAGUGAAUCAUCGAAUCUUUGAACGCACAUUGCGCCCUCUGGUAUUCCGGAGGGCAUGCCUGUUCGAGCGUCAUUUCAACCCUCAAGCAUUGCUUGGUGUUGGGGCACUGCCUGUAAAAGGGCAGGCCCUGAAAUCUAGUGGCGAGCUCGCUAGGACCCCGAGCGUAGUAGUUAAACCCUCGCUUUGGAAGGCCCUGGCGGUGCCCUGCCGUUAAACCCCCAACUUUUGAAAAUUUGACCUCGGAUCAGGUAGGAAUACCCGCUGAACUUAAGCAUAUCAAUAAGCGGAGGA